ACAUCCCAUCUUCCCCUCUCUCCAGUAUGAUGGUUCUGAGUCAUGUCCCACCCAGUUGUUCAGAGGGUCCCUAGAGGAAAUGAACCCAGGCUACCUUUAGCUGUGACUUACGGUUUUGAAUCUGCAGUGUCCCCUGAAUGCCCAGUGAUAAAGGCUUUGUUGACAGCUGAUGAUCUCAGGGCAGCAAUUGGAUCCUGAAGGCUCUGACCACACCAAUGGAUGAAUCCCUUGAUGGAUUUGUGAUGAGGUUCCUCCUCCCAGAUGUGCCUCACUAUCUGCCCACAAUGGAACACCCAACUACUGAUGGAAACCUCAAAAACCAAAAUAAAUCUUUCCUCUUUUCAA